AUUUGGACUGUUACUUUGAAAAAAUUAGAGUGUUUAAAGCAAGCUAACGCUUGAAUACAUUAGCAUGGAAUAAUGAAAUAGGACGUUCGAUCCUAUUUUGUUGGUUUCUAGGAUUGACGUAAUGAUUAAUAGGGAUAUUGGGGGCAUUAGUAUUUCAAUUGUCAGAGGUGAAACUCUUGGAUUUAUUGAGGACUAACUACUGCGAAAGCAUUUGCCAAGGAUGUUUUCAUUAAUCAAGAACGAAAGUUAGGGGAUCGAAGACGAUCAGAUACCGUCGUAGUCUUAACCAUAAACUAUGCCGACUAGGGACCGGAUGAUGUUAAUUUUUUAAUGACUCAUUCGGCGCCUUACCGGGAAAC
rnacentral:rRNA from 2 species